GACGAACGCUGGCGGCGUGCUUAACACAUGCAAGUCGAACGAUGAAGCCGGAGCUUGCUCUGGUGAAUUAGUGGCGAACGGGUGAGUAACACGUGAGUAACCUGCCCUUGACUCUGGGAUAACUGCGGGAAACUGUAGCUAAUACCGGAUACGACCCUCGGAGGCAUCUCCUGGGGGUGGAAAGAAUUUCGGUCAAGGAUGGACUCGCGGCCUAUCAGCUAGUUGGUGAGGUAACGGCUCACCAAGGCGACGACGGGUAGCCGGCCUGAGAGGGUGACCGGCCACACUGGGACUGAGACACGGCCCAGACUCCUACGGGAGGCAGCAGUGGGGAAUAUUGCACAAUGGGCGCAAGCCUGAUGCGGCAACGCCGCGUGAGGGAUGACGGCCUUCGGGUUGUAAACCUCUUUUAGCAGGGAAGAAGCGAAAGUGACGGUACCUGCAGAAAAAGCACCGGCUAACUACGCGCCAGCCGCCGCAGUAA
rnacentral:rRNA from 1 species